rnacentral:ncRNA from 1 species
AAUGGAAGAAUGAGCUGGCCUAUUCAUUGCCGGGGGGUGUUGGUAAACCUAUGAAACUCUCCCGUGACCGGGAUAGGGAAUUGUAAUUAUUUUCCUUGAAC